rnacentral:misc_RNA from 1 species
AACGCAUCUUGCGCUCCUUGGUAUUCCGAGGAGCAUGCCUGUUUGAGUGUCAUGAAAUCAUCUCAAUUUCAAUCUUGUUAUUGAAAUUGGACUUGGGUGUUGUUGUGAGUCACACAACUCAUCCUAAAUGCAUUAGCGAUCUGUCUGUGAUCACACACAAUGUGAUAAGUAAAAAGCAUUGUUACAAUCGAGUCAGGAUGGCUUCGAACCGUCUGAAAGGACAUUCUUUCAUGUCAGUUGACCUCGGAUCAGGUAGGGAUACCCGCUGAACUUAA